AAAUUGAAGAGUUUGAUCAUGGCUCAGAUUGAACGCUGGCGGCAGGCCUAACACAUGCAAGUCGAACGGUAACAGGAAGCAGCUUGCUGCUUUGCUGACGAGUGGCGGACGGGUGAGUAAUGUCUGGGAAACUGCCUGAUGGAGGGGGAUAACUACUGGAAACGGUAGCUAAUACCGCAUAACGUCGCAAGACCAAAGAGGGGGACCUUCGGGCCUCUUGCCAUCGGAUGUGCCCAGAUGGGAUUAGCUAGUAGGUGGGGUAACGGCUCACCUAGGCGACGAUCCCUAGCUGGUCUGAGAGGAUGACCAGCCACACUGGAACUGAGACACGGUCCAGACUCCUACGGGAGGCAGCAGUGGGGAAUAUUGCACAAUGGGCGCAAGCCUGAUGCAGCCAUGCCGCGUGUAUGAAGAAGGCCUUCGGGUUGUAAAGUACUUUCAGCGGGGAGGAAGGGAGUAAAGUUAAUACCUUUGCUCAUUGACGUUACCCGCAGAAGAAGCACCGGCUAACUCCGUGCCAGCAGCCGCGGUAAUACGGAGGGUGCAAGC
rnacentral:rRNA from 1 species